GCUGGGCGUGGUGACGCACACCUGUAAUCCCAGCUACUCGGGAGGCUGAGGCAGGAGAACUGCUUGAACACAGGAGGCAGGGAUUGCAGUGAGCUGAGAUUGUGCCACUGCACUCCAGCCUGGGUGACAGAGCAAGAAUCUGUCUCAA
rfam:Homo sapiens chromosome 2, GRCh38 reference primary assembly.